GGUUCCGUGGUCUAGUUGGUAUGAUACCUCCCUUACAAGGAGGGGAUCACGAGUUCGAGUCUCGUCGGAACCA
rnacentral:tRNA from 1 species